rnacentral:lncRNA from 1 species
GGGGUUGCUGUCGCAUUACGCGAAAAACCGGCGGGAAACGAAGAACAACAGAGCCGCCACCGUGCGUUAUUUAUCCCACAAGAGGGAAAGGAAACGCUCAGAGUAAACCUGGGAAAAAGCAUGGUCUCGCAACCAAAGAGAAUGGAAUCGGGUGUCGGUUAUGCGAAGGGAAGGUAUUAGCACCCCUACGCAUCCGUCGUACUCGACGGGAUCCACGCACAAUAGGAAGGAAAAUGGUUGCUAAAAUC